rnacentral:rRNA from 1 species
GCAUAGGAAUCUACCCAGUAGUGGGGGACAACUUGAGGAAACUCGAGCUAAUACCGCAUACGCCCUAUGGGGGAAAGCGGGGGACCUUCGGGCCUCGUGCUAUCGGAUGAGCCUAUGUCAGAUUAGUUAGUUGGUAAGGUAAUGGCUUACCAAGGUGACGAUCUGUAGCUGGUUUGAGAGGAUGAUCAGCCACACUGGGACUGAGACACGGCCCAGACUCCUACGGGAGGCAGCAGUGGGGAGUAUUGGACAAUGGGCGCAAGCCUGAUCCAGCAAUACCGCGUGUGUGAAGAAGGCCUGCGGGUUGUAAAGCACUUUCAAUAGUAAAGAUGGGGGUGAUGCUUAAUACUCAUUAUCCUUGACGUUAGCUAUACAAGAAGCACCGGCUAACUCCGUGCCAGCAGCCGCGGUAAUACGGAGGGUGCGAGCGUUAAUCGGAAUUACUGGGCGUAAAGCGCGCGUAGGUGGCUAGGUCAGCCGGAUGUGAAAGCCCUGGGCUUAACUCAGGAACUGCAUUCGAUACUGCCUGGCUGGAGUUUGGUAGAGGGUGACGGAAUUCCAGGUGUAGCGGUGAAAUGCGUAGAUAUCUGGAGGAACAUCAGUGGCGAAGGCGGUUGCCUGGACUAAAACUGACACUGAGGCGCGAAAGCGU